AGUGCCAACUUUGCUUUGUCUCUCGCUGGAGAAGCCUGUGAGAACGAGGAUGGGCAAAGUGUCAGGCUCUUGGUGCAGCUGAAAAUCCUUUGAGAUGGAAGAAAUGGCUGGAACAAAGGGGCAGAGGAACAAAAAGCCCUGAACUGCUUCGCCCCUGCCUCGUAGGGUCUUUAUCAUCUUAAACCUUGGGAUUUGGGCUUUGAUCAACUCUGCCUUCCUGGGCCUCAGGGAGAGAGACGGGCUGCUUCCGGGUGCUCAUGACCUUUCCAGCAGUAAGCCAACAAUGUAUGACUCCUGCAUUGCCAUUGCUUGUUUGAGCUGCUCCCAUUACCAGAUCAUUGAACCAUUCUAGAGACUUCAAAUGCAUUGACUAAUGCCUUUGCCUGCUCAGGCAGAGGACAGAAUGACCAUUGCAAGUGUUCAUCAGCAUUUUCCUGCUCUUAGAUGGAAAGGCCGAGGCCACCCCAAGCAUGCUGAAAUUGAUGGGCCGUCGUCAGGAAGGAGUUCACAACUGCAUAUGGAGCCAGAACAAAUGGAGAGACCUCAUUUAGUUGAUUGAUGGUAGCAACAAGG
rnacentral:lncRNA from 1 species